rnacentral:rRNA from 1 species
GACGUAGGGCGCGAGCGUUGUCCGGAUUUAUUGGGCGUAAAGAGCGUGUAGGCGGCCAGGUAGGUCUGCUGUGAAAACUCGAGGCUCAACCUCGAGAUGUCAGCGGAAACCAUCUGGCUAGAGUCCGGAAGAGGAGAGUGGAAUUCCUGGUGUAGCGGUGAAAUGCGCAGAUAUCAGGAAGAACACCCGUGGCGAAGGCGGCUCUCUGGGACGGUACUGACGCUGAGGCGCGAAAGCGUGGGGAGCAAACAGG